GCGAGGUGGGCGUGGGGCGGCUGAAGGGAGUGAGCGGCCCCGGAUGGAGGCGUCGGGAGGGGAGGAGGAACCGCGGCGAGGGACAGUCCCCGCGCGGAGGGGCUGGUCAAGCGCCGGGCCUGACCCGAGUCCUGCAGCACAGGCCCCGGUCCUUUUGGCGCUCCCGAGUUCGGUUGCGGAUGGGAAAUUGAUGGAAAUGGAACACCACAGGCAGGACGGUGUUUCUUGGCUGGUUUAGCCUGCGUGCUCAGGGAACGGCACCCAGGCGGCGGGGGCUGGAUGUUCUGCGCAGUUUGAUAUUAAAGUAUCCGCAGGGGAGAACGGAGCAGCGAGAGCGGUGAUCCCUGUGGGAUGCGGCUGUGAAUUCCCCUUAGCCACGCUGGCUGAGCGCUUCUCCAACACUGCAGUGCCAUGAGGGAGGUGUCGACCUUCGGUGCGGGUUCCAGCAUUAAUCUAAAAUUAACCCGUGCCUUACUCUGGUGCCCGCUGCCUGUUGCCCCACCUGCCCUCUGGACACCUGUACAGCACUCAGCGGUAAAGGGCGUGCUGUAUUUAUCUGCAGAGGACGGCAAGGACAGGAGUUGCAUUCCUGAAAUGCAGAAGUCAAAAUGCAAUUCAGCCUGUGGAAGCAAGAGCAAAGAUGGGGUGCUGAUGGGGGAGACCCCACGCUACAAAAAGCAUUUCCUUGCUCUAGAUCAGAACACUCUGGAUUAGUGAUGCUUCCUCCAAGUUUAUUAUCAACUUGAAUUUUGUCAUUACCUUUUGAUACCCAUUAAAUUGUUUGCACCUUUUAGUGAUCCUUGCUUUGUCAUUACCUUUUGAUACCCAUUAAAUUGUUUGCACCUUUUAGUAGCCCUUGCUUCUGUCUUCUCAAAAAAAAAAAAAAAAAAAAAAAAAAAAAUCGAAAAAACAGAAGGAGCAGCUUGUAUUUUGUCCAUAAAUAGCAACUUCCAAUUUUUUAUCAUGCUCGGUGUCUCCUGUACCCUUUCCAGUUUUUCAAUACCCUUCCUGUGUGGUCUCCCUGGCCUUUUUGCAGAGUAUAAUUAUGCUUGUAUACAACAUCCUGCAGCACUAAUGAGGCAAAGAAUGCCUUCCUCCCUCUCAUUUUAGAAUAAACAGCACAUAAUGUGGCCA
rnacentral:lncRNA from 1 species